rnacentral:rRNA from 1 species
UACGGAGGGAGCUAGCGUUGUUCGGAAUUACUAGGCGUAAAGCGCACGUAGGCGGCUUUGUAAGUUAGAGGUGAAAGCCUGGAGCUCAACUCCAGAAUUGCCUUUAAGACUGCAUCGCUUGAAUCCAGGAGAGGUGAGUGGAAUUCCGAGUGUAGAGGUGAAAUUCGUAGAUAUUCGGAAGAACACCAGUGGCGAAGGCGGCUCACUGGACGCGUAUUGACGCUGAGGUGCGAAAGCGUGGGGAGCAAAAAGG